GAUGAAGAACGCAGCGAAAUGCGAUACGUAAUGUGAAUUGCAGAAUUCAGUGAAUCAUCGAGUCUUUGAACGCACAUUGCGCCCCCUGGUAUUCCGGGGGGCAUGCCUGUCCGAGCGUCAUUGCUGCCCUCAAGCACGGCUUGUGUGUUGGGCCUCCGUCCUCCUCCCGGGGGACGGGCCCGAAAGGCAGCGGCGGCACCGCGUCCGGUCCUCGAGCGUAUGGGGCUUCGUCACCCGCUCCGUAGGCCCGGCCGGCGCCCGCCGGCGACCCCCCUCAAUCUUUUCAGGUUGACCUCGGAUCAGGUAGGGAUACCCGCUGAACUUAAGCAUAUCAAUAAGCGGAGGA
rnacentral:misc_RNA from 1 species